UAUCAAGGCUGACAAUGGCCGGCGGAGCAGCUGUCCUGGAAAAUCAGAAUGUCUCAAGUACCUGCACAUCUGAAUGACUGCUAAAGCAGGUCCUUUUCGCAACAAAUGUUUCGCCGGGAGGUAAGGUGGAUUGCCAGCCUCUGCCCAGAAGAUCAAAACGUCAAUAUACGAUUUUUUUAAAUCACGCUACAAUACAACCAAACACUCAGCGGCUCGAGUACACACUUAAAGGAGUUCGAGUUACAAACACUUUGUGACCCUGUCCCUGCCACACUGAGGACCAAGUAGCCAACUGCGCCUGGAUCUGCCUGCUUUCAACCACACCUCACGUACAGCUAGCACUGAGUAAAAGGCCUUAAAAGGUCAUGGCCAUGAUCAAGAGCACCUGGACACAGGCUCUGCGCAAGCGCCAAGUUUCAUACUUCUGACGUACAAGACCCGACGAGAUAGGAAGAAGAAACACGCCAGCUAGUUGCACAGCGCUCCGCAGCAGUCCAGAAAGCAGUCUCCAUUCGCAACAAGUGUGCGUCGUUGAUUAAUGUAAGAUUGUUUCUUACUUCUCGUACACUAAUUCGUAUUGUUAAUGUUGGGUUUUCUCAUUAAUCGACGCACUUUUCCUUUAUUUAGCAAUGUUAUAUUCGCGUUGUUUAUGUGUAUGUAAAUACUGAUCGUGUGCCUGUAAUUAUACGCGAAUAUUCGUAUAUCCUAUAGUUUAUGUUA